rnacentral:lncRNA from 1 species
AAGUUCAAUUAGGUCGAGUUACGUCUAUCACGAAAAUGGUGAUUUGAUCAAAUAUGUGUCUAUAACGAGAUGGCGAUGCGAUCGAAUCGAACCGUGCCUAUCACUAAGAUAGUAUAUGGUUCGAAUAUUGUCUAUCACGAAGAUGACGAAUCAUUCCAGCAAUAUCUAUUAUGAAAAUGGCAAAUCAAAAUAAUACUCAUUCAUUUUAUUUUUAUUAUUAUUCUUGUUGUUGUUGUUGUUGUUUUAUCAUCAUAUUUUGUCGAAGUAUGGGGAGUUUGUUCAUGUCGAGCCUAUUGCGAAGAUGGCAGCUAAUCAACUCUUCGACCGUGUCGAGUCUAUUUCGAAGAUGAUCACUCGGUAUACGGAAUAGUAAAAUAGGUCGGUUUGAUCGUGUCGAGCCUAUUAUAAAGAUAGCCGCUCGAUCAACUUUCCGAUCUUGUCAAUUCUAUCACGAAAAUGACCGCUCGAUAUAAAAAUUAGUAAUACAUACGCACGACGAAAGUGACAAUUUGAUGCCAAAUUUGAUCGGUUCAUGCCUAUUACGAAGACGGUUAAGUUGAUCAAAACAACAAGAAAAAUUGCACUUACAUCAUUUGUAUGCAUGCAUUAUCCCUUGUUG